GAGAAGAGGUGGCUGCUGUCUCUUCUCUCCCCAACCCUGAUUCUCUCUGUGUGUCCCUCUCCCCUUUCCCUCCGCUUCCCUCUUGCACUGAAUAAACUGUAUCCAAACUCUCUCUGCAUGGCAUGUCUACCCAUCUCUCACCCGCCACAGCUCUGCCUCCCAUGACCUUGGGUGACCCACAGUGACACCUGGGCUCCCUGCCUGGGACCAGCUGCCCCUAGUGGCCUGCCACUGGUCCUAGGUGUAACACCUGCAACCAUCUUUGGAAGUCCCCUCCCCCUGGGAGUAGCCUUGGUCUGGACUCCACCUCCAGGAAAGCCCGGAAAGCAGUGUCCCCUCCCCAGGGAGGGUCAAAAAGAAAAAAAAAAAAAGCCCGCCAAGAAGUGGACCACGCCCACAGGCUAUUUAGGCUGCCGCCCAGAAAAGAAACACGUGGUCUUCCGGUUUUGUGUGGUUCCCUCCUCCUUUCUUUUGCCAUGAGCUCCUGGCCACCCUGGAGCACUGCAAUAAACAUGGGCAUCUUUUAUUCAGUCUAAUUUGGUCUGAUUGGAAUUAUUGAGUGGCUUUUGUUAGGAAUGUUACUAGUAUAUGGAGGUCUCCACGGGGUGGGGGAGGGGGAGUCUGUUUUUCCCAGCCAUGUGUUGGAAAAUGCUCUUCUUGCACCCUUUGCCAGGCUAAGAUUGGCUUUGACUUGGUGAGUUCCCCUUUUGGAGGACUUAGCCAGUAGGGUGUAGCCCCCCUCCCCGGAAGGGGGGAAUUUCGCAUCUUUACUUUGUUGAUCCUGCUUUCUGUUGGAGUUACGGGGCUGUGUGGAAAGCCUGACCAACAUGGCUAAGCCGGGCUUUGCUGAGAUGAGUCUUGGGUGUUUGGAGAUGUCUGCCAUUCAUUUCUCAUGCACCCCCAUUUUGACUCAAGAGUUAUUCCAGUGGACGCACUAUGACAGACUUGAGUCCGAAUAGGCAUGGGCUUCAAGAUGGGUUCUUGAGAUUCCAAGUAGAUUACUCAAACGCCCUUGGGUGGUCUUUUACAAAAAUCUUUUUAAAUUGGGGCUAUCUAACACCUAACAUAAAAUAAACAGGCUCCAAAAGCCCACGGUUUCUAGAUGUGCAUUCCCAAUCCCCGCUUCUUGGCUCCCCUCGCUGCUUCUACAUCCCAGCUCCACUCCCCACUGUCCUACACUCCUUCCCUGUUCCCCCUUCUUGCUUCUCUAGCCGUUUGCCUCACUCUGAGAGUCUCUAAAAUGGAUCUGUUACCCCCUGUCCUUCCACUCUCCUGGCUCCUGCCACCUAACUAUGCCGGGAUUUUAAGUUGGUCAGCCGACAUAGGUUUCUAAAAGUGUUUUAUUUGUCUAUCUGUUAAAUAAUGUGGCCACAGUAUGUCUGUGUAAGUAUAUGGAUUUGUGUUUCUUUGUGUAUGUGUGCUCGUUUUAAGAUAACUCCAGACAAAAACAGCUCUAAAAAAAAAAUACAAACACGUGGGUAACCUUCAUUUUGACCUCUUUGCCAUCUUGGGUAAGAGUUCCCACGUGUGCUACUAUUCUCUGGCUUAUUAAAAUAUUCCUUUUAAUCUUCUUACGAGCUUUGGUAAACUGUAACUAACUGGAUAAAAUACAUGUCUAAAUUUAGUUUAUAUGCCCAGUUUAAAAUAACAGGUAAUGGUAGCCAAUCCUCAAGUGCCUUUACAGAUCUGAGAGUAUGGCAUUUAACAAAAGAGCUUCUAACACAGAGACAUGCCAGCCCUUGUAGAAGAGCUCCUCUUGAAGAUGUGUGGUUACAGAAGACCUUCCACCUCCAGGCUUGCCUUUGGGUUUGGCAAAGCCACCCAAACAGCAAAAAGCAGCCUUUGACCUCUUCAGCUUCCUGAAUGCCACCUGGAAAUCUAUAGUCUCAUCCUGCUGAAUCAGGCUGGUGCAUUCCAAGAACUAAGGAGAGAUUUUGGAUUGCCUGUGUAGCUAAAGAAGCUGUUUCAUUUCUGCUCAUUUAUCCCUCCUGGAUCUGUUUAAUAACAUUUGAUGACUUAAGGUAUUGGUAACUCAUGACUUCAUUUGUUAAGUUUCUUGCCAAAAUACAGACAGGUCUCUUUAACAGUCUUCCUAAUCCAGGACUAACAAGUCUCAGGUGUAUCUUAAAAAUCCAGAGUUCCCAAUUAACCUAAAGCAAUAGCCUUUUGCUUUAUUUAAACCAUAACACCACCACCACCCAACUUAUAGAUAUCCUUGAUAAAUACUGGGAUGACAUCAAGAUGUAAAUCUGUUCCACUUUUCUUACAGAUACCUACAGGUUCUGGGAAAAAGUUUUGCUGUUAUCACUGGUAAAGAAUAACAGCCUCCAGAGCCUGUUUUAUCCUGUUUUAACCCCACCCAGCUUCAAGCAUAUUUUACAGGUCACUCCUGCUGUCUGGGCCAAGACAAAGUGCUCUCCAGACAACGCCAGCACCUGCACAAGCUCCUGAGACUUUACCAUUGGUACCAACUCUCCUGGAUCAAGGACACCUACCAACUAAAUCUGGUUGUAUCUACUAUUAUGUUCCAAUUAUAUACCCAAGCUUCACUUGUACAACCAGGGCACUUCUUUGUUCCAUUCUUUCUGGCAGCUAAUGACUUUCCAGAGCUAGCCCCAUUCAUAAGACCAAUAAUAACAAUAUUUUUUCUCCUAGCCACCUGCCUUCUCAUCUCCCUCCAAAGGCAGCUGCCUGAGGACUCCAGGAUGACAGUAAACUGGAUGCUGCCCAAUCACACUUCUCACUGAGUGUGAGCCCACCAAUUUUCAGCUCUCCCUUCCCCCAUGUCACCCUAUGCCUGCAGGAAGUAGCCAGACUUGAGCUGAUGCCCCUUUAUCCAAACAGAGCCUAAAAUGUUGAUCGUAUGCAUCACCUCAACUCCUUGUCAUCUCUUAUACAAAGAGUCUGGAAGGUAAUACCUGGCAUCCAUCUUUGGAAGCUCCUUCUCCUAGGGACUCACCUUAGUCCAGACUCCACCUCCAGGAAAGCCUGCCAAGAAGUGAACCCUUCCCAGCGAGGGUCAAAAAAAGCCUGCUAAGCUGUGGACUUCUCCACAGGUUAUUUACGCUGCCACCCAGAAAAGGAACACAUGGUCUCUGGGUUUUUCUUGGCCUUUUCCUGGUCUCUUCCCCUUACCAUGCACCCGGGAGCACUGCAUUAAAUGUGGGCAUCUUUUAUUCCGUC